AGAGUUUGAUCAUGGCUCAGAGUGAACGCUGGCGGCGUGCUUAACACAUGCAAGUCGAACGAGAACGGGCCUAGCUUGCUAGGCUGUCAGCUAAGUGGCGGACGGGUGAGUAAUGUAUAGUUAAUUUGCCCCUUAGAGAGGGAUAACAGUUAGAAAUGACUGCUAAUACCUCAUACUCCUUCUACCUUAAUGGUAGUUGGGAAAUGUUUUUUCGCUAAGGGAUGAGACUAUAUGGUAUCAGGUAGUUGGUGGGGUAAGAGCCUACCAAGCCUAUGACGCCUAGCUGGUCUGAGAGGAUGAUCAGCCACACUGGAACUGAGACACGGUCCAGACUCCUACGGGAGGCAGCAGUGGGGAAUAUUGCACAAUGGAGGAAACCCUGAUGCAGCAACGCCGCGUGGAGGAUGACGCAUUUCGGUGUGUAAACUCCUUUUAUAUGGGAAGAUAAUGACGGUACCAUAUGAAUAAGCACCGGCUAACUCCGU
rnacentral:rRNA from 1 species